AGAGAGAGACAUGCGCGCAUAUCAAUAAGCGGAGGAAAAGAAACUAACAAGGAUUCCCUUAGUAACGGCGAGUGAAGCGGGAAGAGCUCAAAUUUGAAAUCUUCAAGGUUUUACCUUGACGAAUUGUAGUUUAAAGAAGUGUUUUCUGCUGAAGUUUUGGUAAAAGUUCUUUGGAAUAGGACAUCAUAGAGGGUGAGAAUCCCGUAUUUGACCAUUAUUUUCAGCUUUGUGAUACACCUUCAAAGAGUCGGAUUGUUUGGGAAUGCAGUCCAAAAUGGGUGGUAAAUUUCAUCUAAAGCUAAAUAUUGGCGAGAGACCGAUAGCGAACAAGUACCGUGAGGGAAAGAUGAAAAGAACUUUGAAAAGAGAGUUAAACAGUACGUGAAAUUGUCAAAAGGGAAGCGUUUGACACCAGUGUUGUUUUCUCGAAAAUCAAUUAAAAAUGGCUCGAUUUUGUAUUGCUUGAGACCUUAAAAGCUCACUGUACAUUUUUCGUGUCUUUUUUAAUGCACUUUUCGUUUAACAAGUCAACAUCAGUUUCUUUUGUUGUAAAAGGGUCAUUGGAAGGUGGCUUUCUUUUCGGAGAAAGUGUUUAUAGCCUUUGGCCUCUGUAAUCGGAGAGACUGAGGUCUGCAGCGUAGACUCUUCGGGGUUAGAUACAUUUGUGCUAAGUUAUAGCUUUUUAUAGACAACUUGUUGACUAUAAUUAGUCUUGUAGCUUACUCGCUUAUGCUAUUUUACCUACGCUUAGGAUGUUGAAGAUGUAGCACAUCAU
rnacentral:rRNA from 1 species